rnacentral:rRNA from 1 species
UAGCCGUAAACGAUACUCGCUAGGUGUCGGCCACGGUGCGACCGUUGUCGGUGCCGUAGGGAAGCCGUGAAGCGAGCCACCUGGGAAGUACGGCCGCAAGGCUGAAACUUAAAGGAAUUGGGCGGGGGAGCACCACAACGGGUGGAGCUUGCGGUUUAAUUGGAUUCAACGCCGGAAAUCUUACCGGGACCGACAGCAACAUGAAGGCCAAGCUGAAGACUUUGCCGGAUUAGCUGAGAGGUGGUGCAUGGCGUAGUCCGUGU